UCUUCCUGGAAAAAUAAAUGUAACAUAAACUGGUGGAGUAUGAUAUCACUGAUUUAAGGAGAAGCUGGAGCAGAUGAUGUUGAAGCAAGGUCCUGAACACCCCUGUCCCAGUAGAGGCACCAGAUAGGAGACUCACAGUCAUCUUCCAUCAUCACUUCCACUCUGGAGAGAAAUGGGGCACACCUGUAUCACAGUCACAAGCACCAAUGAAGCUUGUGUAGACGUACCUGAGCUUCUGAAAUUCAGAUGUAAGAACUACUUGAAUUUUAGCUAGAAAUAAACAGCAUAAAGGACAGAACUGUAUCCACCACGGAGAACAUAAACAAUCAGAAGCAUCGGCACUAUACAAAUAUGUUGCUUACAGACACUAAAAAGGUGUAAAUGCAACAUAUCCUUAAAUAUUAUUCAG
rnacentral:lncRNA from 1 species